rnacentral:rRNA from 1 species
AUGAAGCUGGAGUUGCUAGUAAUCGCGAAUCAGCAUGUCGCGGUGAAUACGUUCCCGGGCCUUGUACACACCGCCCGUCACACCAUGAGAGUUGGCAAUACCCAACGUACGUGAUCUAACCCGCAAGGGAGGAAGCGUCCUAAGGUAGGGUCAGCGAUUGGGGUNAAGUCGUAACAAGGUAAC